rnacentral:rRNA from 1 species
GACGAACGCUGGCGGCGUGCCUCAAACAUGCAAGUCGAGCGAGGUGAAACCGAACCGCAAGGUGAGGUUGAACCUAGCGGCGAACGGGUGAGUAACACGUGGGUAACCUGCCUGGAAGAUCGGGAUAACGGCUCGAAAGAGUCGCUAAUACCGGAUAAUGUCCUGGUGCUGCAUGGCACCGGGAAGAAAGGGGAAACCCGCUUUCAGAUGGGCCCGCGCCCCAUCAGCUAGUUGGUAAGGUAACGGCUUACCAAGGCGACGACGGGUAGCCGGUCUGAGAGGACGAUCGGCCACACUGGGACUGAGAUACGGCCCAGACUCCUACGGGAGGCAGCAGUUGGGAAUCUUAGGCAAUGGGCGAAAGCCUGACCUAGCGACGCCGCGUGAGGGAAGAAGGCCUUCGGGUCGUAAACCUCUGUCAUGGGGGACGAAGAAAGUGGCGGUACCCAGGAGGAAGCCCCUGCUAACUACGUG